GAUGAACGCUGGCGGCGUGCUUAAUACAUGCAAGUCGAGCGAACAGACGCUGAUCUUGCUCCUCUGUCGUUAGGCGCGGAGGGGUGAGUAACACGUGUAUAACCCACCUAUCAGACGGGGAAAACUUCGGGAAACCGGCGCUAAUACCGUAUGAUAUAUUGAACCGCAUGGGUGAAUAGUGAAAGACGGCUUUGCGGUCAGUUAUAGAUGGAUCUGCGCCGGUUUAGCUAGUUGGUAAGGUAACGGGCUACCAAGGCAACGAUGCGUAGCCGACCUGUGAGGGUGAUCGGCCACACUGGAACGGGACCGCCGUCCAGGCGCCUGAGAGAGGCAGCAGUAGGGAAUGUUACGCAGUGGGCGAGAGCCUGGCGCAGCAGCGCCGCGUGAGUGAUGACGGUCUUCCGAGCGUAAUACUGUGUUAUUAGGGAUAAACAAAUGUGUAAGGAACUGUGCACGUCUUGACGGUACCUAGUCAGGAAGCCACGGCUAACUACGUG
rnacentral:rRNA from 1 species